rnacentral:ncRNA from 2 species
CUUUAAAAAACUUUCCGAGCCUACCCUCCUAAGGCUUUAGCUAUGGAGGCUGGCCGAUAGGGUGCAAGCGGAAACGCUUGUGCCUCCCGUAUUUGGAAAGGAAGGUGGUUAUGCGUAAA